GAAUGGGUAGCACAAUUUCCCAUGUUCGGAACAACCCGGCUAUUUUGACUUCCACUCUAAAACGUUCUAACUCUAGGUGAAGUUGAUGAUAUGGCUAUUAAGUAGGUUCCAGUGGUAUUGAAACAUGAUUCUUCCACUCAAUACGUUGAGAGCUUUGUUUGUAAUAAGCUAAUAUUUCUCCUGUUUAGUGACUAAAAUUUUCUUAUCAAAGAGUUCCUAUAUUUACAUAUAGAAAAAAAAAGAGAACGUUCAUAUAAAUUGCAUUGCCCGCUAUGUUGCAUAGAUUCUUGGAGUAUGUCCUGCUCUUGAUAUAUUGGAAAUAUGCAAUAGUAUAACUACUCUUCUAGAAUCCAACAUAACAAUAUAUUAUUCUUUAAGAGUGGUGCUCCUUGCAUGUUGUUUGAGCUCCUAAAGAACCGAAGGAAUUAGAAUGUCGACAUGACACCUUUGUCAGUGACAAGAUUCUUACCCAAUUUGGUCAACAUUCAACGGGUUCUUCGACCAACGAAAGCUGAAACUGCUAAGACGAAGACAGAUGAAAUGAAGUCCUGUGAGGAAGAAGACAGAUGAAAGACGAGGGAUACAGCAACUUUCUGGCAAGACUAUAGCAAACAUGGAUAUCAAACUGGACUUUGUUCCUCCCUCAUUCAUCAAUUUUGUUUCAAGGCAGCUCGUAGGUGCUGGUUUCAAGCUUUAUAAAAAGGAAGUAGCUUCAGUAGUCAAAGGUGACGAAGAUUU